AAAAAAAAAAAAAAAACCUCAAGACUUCUUUUGCUCUUAUCCUUCGGAGGAUGAUCCAAAAAAUCGACGAAGAACGGAAUCGAACUCCUCGACGUAAGAGAUCAUCUUCUCAUUUGAGAUUUACCAACGGAGAUAUUCAUUCGAGCAUGAUCGGUAAGUGUUUUAGCCAAGUGAAUUGAAACGAUCUGAGUAUGAACCGAUAACAAUUUUACUCUUUCAAAUUCAGAAAGAACCCUAGUUUUGUGCAACAAAAAAAUUGAACACACAAAUUGCAAAAUCCAAAAUCCAAAAUCCAAAAUCCAAAAGAACAAUUUCUAC